rnacentral:rRNA from 1 species
ACUUUUGGAUGGUCCCGCGGCGUAUUAGCUAGAUGGUGGGGUAACGGCUCACCAUGGCAAUGAUACGUAGCCGACCUGAGAGGGUAAUCGGCCACAUUGGGACUGAGACACGGCCCAAACUCCUACGGGAGGCAGCAGUAGGGAAUCUUCCACAAUGGACGAAAGUCUGAUGGAGCAACGCCGCGUGAGUGAAGAAGGGUUUCGGCUCGUAAAACUCUGUUGUUAAAGAAGAACAUAUCUGAGAGUAACUGUUCAGGUAUUGACGGUAUUUAACCAGAAAGCCACGGCUAACUACGUGCCAGCAGCCGCGGUAAUACGUAGGUGGCAAGCGUUGUCCGGAUUUAUUGGGCGUAAAGCGAGCGCAGGCGGUUUUUUAAGUCUGAUGUGAAAGCCUUCGGCUCAACCGAAGAAGUGCAUCGGAAACUGGGAAACUUGAGUGCAGAAGAGGACAGUGGAACUCCAUGUGUAGCGGUGAAAUGCGUAGAUAUAUGGAAGAACACCAGUGGCGAAGGCGGCUGUCUGGUCUGUAACUGACGCUGAGGCUCGAAAGUAUGGGUAGCAAACAGGAUUAGAUACCCUGGUAGUCCAUACCGUAAACGAUGAAUGCUAAGUGUUGGAGGGUUUCCGCCCUUCAGUGCUGCAGCUAACGCAUUAAGCAUUCCGCCUGGGGAGUACGGCCGCAAGGCUGAAACUCAAAGGAAUUGACGGGGGCCCGCACAAGCGGUGGAGCAUGUGGUUUAAUUCGAAGCUACGCGAAGAACCUUACCAGGUCUUGACAUACUAUGCAAAUCUAAGAGAUUAGACGUUCCCUUCGGGGACAUGGAUACAGGUGGUGCAUGGUUGUCGUCAGCUCGUGUCGUGAGAUGUUGGGUUAAGUCCCGCAACGAGCGCAACCCUUAUUAUCAGUUGCCAGCAUUAAGUUGGGCACUCUGGUGAGACUGCCGGUGACAAACCGGAGGAAGGUGGGGAUGACGUCAAAUCAUC